AGAGUUUGAUCAUGGCUCAGGACGAACGCUGGCGGCGUGCCUAACACAUGCAAGUCGAACGAAGUAUAUUUUCGGAUAUGCUUAGUGGCGGACGGGUGAGUAACGCGUGAACAAUCUGCCCUGUACACAGGAAUAGCCUCGGGAAACUGGGAUUAAAACCGGAUAACACUUUCUGGCCGCAUGGCCGGGAAGUCAAAUUGAUUUAGAGGUACAGGAUGAGUUCGCGUCUGAUUAGCUAGUUGGUGAGGUAACGGCUCACCAAGGCGACGAUCAGUAGCCGGCCUGAGAGGGUGAACGGCCACACUGGAACUGAGACACGGUCCAGACUCCUACGGGAGGCAGCAGUGGGGAAUAUUGCACAAUGGAGGAAACUCUGAUGCAGCGACGCCGCGUGAGUGAAGAAGGUCUUCGGAUCGUAAAACUCUGUCCUUGGUGACGAAAAAAAUGACGGUAGCCAAGGAGGAAGCCCCGGCUAACUACGUGCCAGCAGCCGCGGUAAUACGUAGGGGGCGAGCGUUGUCCGGAUUUACUGGGCGUAAAGGGUGAGUAGGCGGUAAUAUGUGUCAGAUGUAAAAGGCUAUGGCUUAACCAUAGUUGGCAUUUGAAACUGUAUUACUUGAGUGCAGGAGAGGUAAGUGGAAUUCCUAGUGUAGCGGUGAAAUGCGUAGAUAUUAGGAGGAACACCAGUGGCGAAGGCGACUUACUGGACUGUAACUGACGCUGAGUCACGAAAGCGUGGGUAGCAAACAGGAUUAGAUACCCUGGUAGUCCACGCUGUAAACGAUGAGUGCUAGGUGUUGGGUAGCGAUAUUCAGUGCCGAAGUAAACACAAUAAGCACUCCGCCUGGGGAGUACGGUCGCAAGACUGAAACUCAAAGGAAUUGACGG
rnacentral:rRNA from 2 species